AGGAAUUUACGUUAACAUACUAAACCUAAAGCCUUCAAAGUUCUAAAUGAAAGUG
rnacentral:tRNA from 1 species